AGUGGGCUCAAUAGUCCAGGACAAAGUCGGUCUGUCCUUCUACUACUACAUGCUACUUGACUUUGUCUGGAAGCCAUGGAUGCUGCCCUCAACAUGCUAAACCCUCACAAAUAAACUGAUAUCAAGAAUUAACAUUGAUGGUGAUGAUGGAAAGGCCUUCAUAAGGUGCCCUCCAGCAACCCCAGCCUGGAGCCAGAGGCUGGUACUGCACAUCAGAUGGGGUAUGAUCUGUGCUAGGCAUCAGAAAGGUGGUCUACGCAAGAAGGCAAGAGCUUCUGCAGACAGUGUUGCAAUUAGACACCUGACCUUUACUGCCAAAGGGAUCCCCAUCAGAGCACCUCUGCCUUCCCUGCAGGACAACUAUACCAGAAGAGUACGGACAAGGACUCAACAUGAUUUAAAGGACAUUUCACGCCCAUGGA